GUCCUGCGACUCCACCCCGCGGGGGCGCCGCCGGAGCCCGAGCCUCGCCCCGCGCCGGGAAGUAGCCGGUUUAGGCGUCCGCUAAGCAGCGCAUAUAGGAUGCAUGAACAGAGCCUUGCUCACCACCAGAGCUAGGCAGCCAAGCAGUGUCCUCUGGACAGCAACCACAUAUGUGAUCAGCUACUCUCUGGGAGAUACCAGCGACCUGGAAGGAGGCAGAUGGAGAGCAGGAAGAUGGCAGCCAGUAGCGUCUGUGGUCUCCGGAAAGUAUUGCAGUUGGUGCCAGAAGCCUUCCCCUCAACCUGAAACUUUUCAGAUAUCGCGGAGAUACCAAACAUUCAGGAUUUAUAUCAGUUGUGAUCUGCUCUGGUAUUAACUGAGGAUCUGGGUUUAAAUGCUGCAUCUUCAGAAAGGAAAGAAUGUUCUGAACUUCUAAAUUGUAAGAACUGUCCGCCAUGGUCUUGCCUUUGGAGGCUAGUCUGCAGGCUGCCAUCCAGUGCGCAUACUGUUUUUCCUGAUGAAAAGAAAUACUGAGAUCUCAAUUCUGAUGUUAUUUUCACCAUGGAGCCUCUUAAUUCUCUCUGCCAUCACUGAAGACUGCAACCCCCUGAACCUGGUAUGAGGUGGUAUAACCAUUACCAUAGUCAAGAGUUUAACCUGUCUUUACUGAUAGCAAAGAAGACUUCCAUCCUGGUGUGCUAGUCAACAAAGCGAUGAAGCAGCUGUUUGUAACACUGCUGCAAGUCAUUCAAACUGACCAGACCAGACAACAUCAUAGCUGUGUUCAUACCGUCCUCACCAAGAGUAGGCUCAAUCUCAAGAAGCCACUUUCUUUGCUCAUCCUCCUCCUUGAAAGUGUGAUCACAAGAUUGCAGCAACCCAGUCAUCUCUUCACACACUACUUCUAAUUCUAGUUUUCUUGCUACAUCUGCAGUGGCUUUCUCCACUCAGCAUUUUCAAACUCCUGUUCAUGUUGAUUUCUGAACUUCUUCAAUAAAAC